GCCCUUGUAGUGUAGUGGUUAUCACGUCUCCUUUUACACGGAAAAGGUCCCCGGUUCGAACCCGGGCGAGGGCA